rnacentral:rRNA from 1 species
CGGCUAACUACGUGCCAGCAGCCGCGGUAAUACGUAGGGUGCAAGCGUUAUCCGGAAUUAUUGGGCGUAAAGAGCUCGUAGGCGGUUUGUCGCGUCUGCUGUGAAAUCUGGGGGCUCAACCCCCAGCCUGCAGUGGGUACGGGCAGACUAGAGUGCGGUAGGGGAGAUUGGAAUUCCUGGUGUAGCGGUGGAAUGCGCAGAUAUCAGGAGGAACACCGAUGGCGAAGGCAGAUCUCUGGGCCGUAACUGACGCUGAGGAGCGAAAGGGUGGGGAGCAAACAGGCUUAGAUACCCUGGUAGUCCACCCCGUAAACGUUGGGAACUAGUUGUGGGGUCCAUUCCACGGAUUCCGUGACGCAGCUAACGCAUUAAGUUCCCCGCCUGGGGAGUACGGCCGCAAGGCUAAAACUCAAAGGAAUUGACGGGGACCCGCACAAGCGGCGGAGCAUGCGGAUUAAUUCGAUGCAACGCGAAGAACCUUACCAAGGCUUGACAUAUACGAGAACGGGCCAGAAAUGGUCAACUCUUUGGACACUCGUAAACAGGUGGUGCAUGGUUGUCGUCAGCUCGUGUCGUGAGAUGUUGGGUUAAGUCCCGCAACGAGCGCAACCCUCGUUCUAUGUUGCCAGCACGUUA